AACGAACGCUGGCGGCAUGCCUAACACAUGCCAGUCGAACGAGACCUUCGGGUCUAGUGGCGCACGGGUGCGUAACGCGUGGGAACCUGCCCUUAGGUUCGGAAUAACUCCCCGAAAGGGGUGCUAAUACCGGAUAAUGUCUUCGGACCAAAGAUUUAUCGCCUUUGGAUGGGCCCGCGUUGGAUUAGCUAGUUGGUAGGGUAAAAGCCUACCAAGGCGACGAUCCAUAGCUGGUCUGAGAGGAUGAUCAGCCACACUGGGACUGGGACACGGCCCAGACUCCUACGGGAGGCAGCAGUGGGGAAUAUUGGACAAUGGGCGAAAGCCUGAUCCAGCAAUGCCGCGUGAGUGAUGAAGGCCUUAGGGUUGUAAAGCUCUUUUACCCGGGAUGAUAAUGACAGUACCGGGAGAAUAAGCGCCGGCUAACUCCGUG
rnacentral:rRNA from 1 species